rnacentral:rRNA from 1 species
GGCGGUUUGUUAAGUCAGAUGUGAAAUCCCCGGGCUCAACCUGGGAACUGCAUUUGAAACUGGCAAGCUAGAGUCUCGUAGAGGGGGGUAGAAUUCCAGGUGUAGCGGUGAAAUGCGUAGAGAUCUGGAGGAAUACCGGUGGCGAAGGCGGCCCCCUGGACGAAGACUGACGCUCAGGUGCGAAAGCGUGGGGAGCAAACAGGAUUA